UUUCUAGCUCAUGAAGCAUCUCCAGGGAAAAGCAGAAGAUGCCACGGGUGUGCUCAGGAUGGAGCAGCUCAGGUGGGUGCAGUGGGAAGCAGCAGGGGCAGCUCUGCUUUCCCAGAGCCAUCCCAGCCCUGUGUGCAGGACCCUCCUGCAGGGCCAGCUGUGCCACUUUUGUGACACCACCAGCUUGGUCCCUCUUGCUCUGAGACCUCUGCUCACCCUCCAGCCCCUGGAACCUCCAGCAAAACUGAAAUUGGAAAGGCAGAGGUUCUGCUGCUGAGCCCAAUGUCCCAGGUCCUCAGAGCCGUCCUGGCCACUGCUGCCACCAAAGAUUGGCUGUCUGGUUGGGCCCUGGGCAACCUGGGCUAGUGGCAGGCGUCCCUGACUAUGACAUGGGGUGGAGUUUGAGGUCCCCUCUUCCGAUCUUGGGAGGCGUCCCUGACUAUGACAUGGGGUGGAGUUUGAGGUCCCAACCCAAACCAUUCCAUGAUUCCAUGACAGAGCCACCCUGUCCAUCCAGACUGAGCUCAAGAGCAGGCACAGCUCAUCCUGCAGCACCGUUCCAGGUGCCCCAGCUCUGGAAUUCGUGGCUUCAUCAUCCCAGCUCCUGCAUUCAGCGGGAUACAAUGGCAAGAAUUCCAGGGGAUUUAUUUUGACUGGCAGGACUGCCCCUCGUGCCUGUUUGCACACCCUCAGCAGGGCUCAGAUGUGCCUGUGGCCAGGCUGGAGGAUUCCAGGAAUCCCAUCUAGGCCUCUCCUGCUGCUCACCUCUGCCUUGGCAUUCCAUGAGAAGCGCUGAGCACUUUGCUGGAAUUGGAAAUGAACCUUCAGCAUCUGGCCAUGCCCAGGAUCCUGCAUUCCUGAAGGAUCCCUGCUCCUGAAAAUGCCACUGACAGCACAGAAGGCACACGAGGACACAGAGGGAAGGGGAAGGGAGGGGUGGGAGGCCCUUGGAGAGCUCUGUCCAGGGGAACAGCCCCCCCAGGCAAGGCGGGCUCUCUCCUGAGCACAGCCCUGGCACAUUCCCUGGACAGGCUCGAGACACUGUGGGGGAAAGGAGGAAACCCCAGAAUAAACCCCAGCCUCAAUCAGAGCAGCCAGUUCCUUGUAAUCCCAAAUCCCUGCUCCUCACUGUCCAGGAGUGUGGGACCAGGGCAGGACCAGCUCAUCUUUUCAAAGGAGAACACAGGGAACCAGGCUCUGUGUAACCUAUUGCAGCUGGGAUUUAUUUUUGUUUUUUCCCCUGAUUCUAACACUGUAAUUUUCAAGCAAUACAAGACUGGGCUAACCCUAAAUUACAUGGCUUGGAUUAGGCACGGAAUCCUGGAAUGGUUUGGGUUGGAAAGGAUCUCAAAGCCCAUCCCAUCCCACCCCUGCCCUGGCAGGGACCCCUCCCACUGCCCCAGGUGCUCCCAGUGUCCAGCCUGGCCUUGGGCACUGCCAGGGAUCCAGGGGCAGCCACAGCUGCUCUGGCAAUUCCAUCCCAGCCCUCACAGGGAUUCCAUCCUCACCCUCCCCUAUUCCUAGCCCAAAUUUCCCCUCUUCCAGUUGAAACAUUGCAUUUAAAAACCUCAAUAAACUUCAAG
rnacentral:lncRNA from 12 species